UAUAUAUACAUGAGAGUAGAUGAUGUAUAGGAUGUGAGGAGCUUUUGGGAAAAAUGUAAAACUUUAUGUUUAUGUUUUGGGAGAAUGAAAAGUAAUCAAAUGUAUUAACUGUUGAAUGUGAUGUAUAGUUAGAGUAUCUCUCUUUUGUUCACUCGUGUAUGCUUGUGAUGCUUGCUCUUAUUUGUUUAGCACUGGUUGUGCUCUCGCUGUUGUUGUUAAUUGUGUAUGUAUUUCAAGUUAUUUUUCCUGGGCACUUGUUGUA
rnacentral:lncRNA from 1 species